AAUGGGCGCAAGCCUGAUCCAGCAAUGCCGCGUGGGUGAAGAAGGCCUUCGGGUUGUAAAGCCCUUUUGUACGGGAGCAAAUCUUUGCGGUUAAUACCUGCUGAGGAUGAGAGUACCGUAAGAAUAAGCACCGGCUAACUACGUGCCAGCAGCCGCGGUAAUACGUAGGGUGCAAGCGUUAAUCGGAAUUACUGGGCGUAAAGCGUGCGCAGGUGGUUUUGUAAGACAGAGGUGAAAUCCCCGAGCUCAACUUGGGAACUGCCUUUGUGACUGCAAGACUAGAGUGUGGCAGAGGGGGGUGGAAUUCCACGUGUAGCAGUGAAAUGCGUAGAGAUGUGGAGGAACACCGAUGGCGAAGGCAGCCCCCUGGGCUAACACUGACACUCAUGCACGAAAGCGUGGGGAGCAAA
rnacentral:rRNA from 1 species